rnacentral:rRNA from 1 species
GACGAACGCUGGCGGCGUGCCUAAUACAUGCAAGUAGAACGCUGAAGAGAGGAGCUUGCUCUUCUUGGAUGAGUUGCGAACGGGUGAGUAACGCGUAGGUAACCUGCCUUGUAGCGGGGGAUAACUAUUGGAAACGAUAGCUAAUACCGCAUAACAAUGGAUGACACAUGUCAUUUAUUUGAAAGGGGCAAUUGCUCCACUACAAGAUGGACCUGCGUUGUAUUAGCUAGUAGGUGAGGUAAUGGCUCACCUAGGCGACGAUACAUAGCCGACCUGAGAGGGUGAUCGGCCACACUGGGACUGAGACACGGCCCAGACUCCUACGGGAGGCAGCAGUAGGGAAUCUUCGGCAAUGGGGGCAACCCUGACCGAGCAACGCCGCGUGAGUGAAGAAGGUUUUCGGAUCGUAAAGCUCUGUUGUAAGUCAAGAACGGGUGUGAGAGUGGAAAGUUCACACUGUGACGGUAGCUUACCAGAAAGGGACGGCUAACUACGUGUCAGCAGCCGCGGUAAUACGUAGGUCCCGAGCGUUGUCCGGAUUUAUUGGGCGUAAAGCGAGCGCAGGCGGUUUGAUAAGUCUGAAGUUAAAGGCUGUGGCUCAACCAUAGUUCGCUUUGGAAACUGUCAAACUUGGGUGCAGAAGGGGAGAGUGGAAUUCCAUGUGUAGCGGUGAAAUGCGUAGAUAUAUGGAGGAACACCGGUGGCGAAAGCGGCUCUCUGGUCUGUAACUGACGCUGAGGCUCGAAAGCGUGGGGAGCGAACAGGAUUAGAUACCCUGGUAGUCCACGCCGUAAACGAUGAGUGCUAGGUGUUGGAUCCUUUCCGGGAUUCAGUGCCGCAGCUAACGCAUUAAGCACUCCGCCUGGGGAGUACGACCGCAAGGUUGAAACUCAAAGGAAUUGACGGGGGCCCGCACAAGCGGUGGAGCAUGUGGUUUAAUUCGAAGCAACGCGAAGAACCUUACCAGGUCUUGACAUCCCGAUGCUAUUUCUAGAGAUAGAAAGUUACUUCGGUACAUCGGUGACAGGUGGUGCAUGGUUGUCGUCAGCUCGUGUCGUGAGAUGUUGGGUUAAGUCCCGCAACGAGCGCAACCCCUAUUGUUAGUUGCCAUCAUUCAGUUGGGCACUCUAGCGAGACUGCCGGUAAUAAACCGGAGGAAGGUGGGGAUGACGUCAAAUCAUCAUGCCCCUUAUGACCUGGGCUACACACGUGCUACAAUGGUUGGUACAACGAGUUGCGAGUCGGUGACGGCAAGCUAAUCUCUUAAAGCCAAUCUCAGUUCGGAUUGUAGGCUGCAACUCGCCUACAUGAAGUCGGAAUCGCUAGUAAUCGCGGAUCAGCACGCCGCGGUGAAUACGUUCCCGGGCCU